rnacentral:rRNA from 1 species
UACGAACUGUGCAAACGUUAUUCGGAUUCACUGGGCUUAAAGGGUGCGUAGGCGGCCAUGUAAGUAGGGUGUGGAAUCCCCCGGCUUAACCGGGGAACUGCGCCCUAAACUGUGUGGCUUGAGUGAGAUAGGGGUGUGUGGAACUUCCGGUGGAGCGGUGAAAUGUGUUGAUAUCGGAAGGAACGCCGGUGGCGAAAGCGACACACUGGGUCUCAACUGACGCUGAGGCACGAAAGCCAGGGGAGCGAACGGG